rnacentral:rRNA from 1 species
UACGUAGGGUGCAAGCGUUGUCCGGAAUUAUUGGGCGUAAAGAGCUCGUAGGUGGUUUGUCGCGUUGUUCGUGAAAACUCACAGCUCAACUGUGGGCGUGCGGGCGAUACGGGCAGACUGGAGUACUGCAGGGGAGACUGGAAUUCCUGGUGUAGCGGUGGAAUGCGCAGAUAUCAGGAGGAACACCGGUGGCGAAGGCGGGUCUCUGGACAGUUCCUGACACUGAGGCACGAAGGCCAGGGGAGCAAACGGG